rnacentral:rRNA from 1 species
UACGGAGGGGGCGAGCGUUAUUCGGAAUUAUUGGGCGUAAAGGGCGCGUAGGCGGCGCGGUAAGUCAAAGGUGAAAUCCCUCGGCUCAACUGAGGAACUGCCUUUGAUACUGCCGUGCUCGAGGCCGGGAGGGGGUAGCGGAAUUCCCAGUGUAGCGGUGAAAUGCGUAGAUAUUGGGAGGAACACCAGUGGCGAAGGCGGCUACCUGGACCGGUUCUGACGCUGAUGCGCGAAAGCGUGGGGAGCGAACCGG